UACGUAGGGGGCAAGCGUUGUCCGGAUUUAUUGGGCGUAAAGAGCGUGUAGGCGGCCAAGUAAGUCUGCUGUGAAAACUCGAGGCUUAACCUCGAGCUGUCGGCGGAAACUAUUUGGCUAGAGUCCGGAAGAGGAGAAUGGAACUCCCGGUGUAGCGGUGAAAUGCGCAGAUAUCGGGAAGAACACCCGUGGCGAAGGCGGUUCUCUGGGACGGUACUGACGCUGAGACGCGAAAGCGUGGGGAGCGAACAGG
rnacentral:rRNA from 1 species